rnacentral:rRNA from 1 species
AACGAACGCUGGCGGCAGACUUAACACAUGCAAGUCGAGCGCCCCGCAAGGGGAGCGGCAGACGGGUGAGUAACGCGUGGGAAUCUACCCAUCUCUACGGAAUAACGCAUGGAAACGUGUGCUAAUACCGUAUACGUCCUUCGGGAGCAAGAUUUAUCGGAGAUGGAUGAGCCCGCGUUGGAUUAGCUAGUUGGUGGGGUAAAGGCCUACCAAGGCGACGAUCCAUAGCGGGUCUGAGAGGAUGAUCAGCCACACUGGGACUGAGAAACGGCCCAGACUCCUAAGGGAGGCAGCAGUGGGGAAUAUUGGACAAUGGGCGCAAGCCUGAUCCAGCCAUGCCGCGUGAGUGAUGAAGGCCCUAGGGUUGUAAAGCUCUUUCACCGGUGAAGAUAAUGACGGUAACCGGAGAAGAAGCCCCGGCUAACUUCGUGCCAGCCGCCGCAGUAAAAC